UAGAUUGAAUUGUAGUAAUUGUAGAAGUUCAGGGACUAUUCUGCUAUUUUUCUUUUUUCAUGAGUAUCUACAGGAUCUUGAUCUAAAAUAUAAAAUAAUUCAUUUAUUAGCAUAUAUAUUUCAUUUCUAAUUCAUUUUACAAUUAAUACCCUUUUAUUUUUUAAAUUUACACAAUUACCCUAAACUUUUACAAUUUUUGUAAUUUAAUCCC
rnacentral:pre_miRNA from 1 species